UUAGAUUAUGGCAUUAGCCAAUCAGAACUCUUGUUAUAUUUGCCACAUGGUGCGAAACUGGUUUGUUUGGAAAAAAUGGCUGCCGCCAUGAUGGUGCCUUUUUUGACAUCUUCUGCAAGUUUAUGUGACGACCUGUUUAAAGUUUAACAGUGACACGCGCCAGUUCAUGUGUCAACGAGCGCAAAUUGUGAACGAUGGCUUGGAAAAAAUUCAGUUCAGAGUUCAAAGCGCCACCUUGCAACAAACAGCGCCAUGGAAACAGCUGUGGAGUGUUUGCAUUGAUGACUGCCAAAUGUUUGGUCAUGAAAAAGCAUCCCACAAUGUUGCGACAGGCCCAUGAUUCAGUUUAUCGAGACUAGUCGUGAGACGCAGACUUCUGAUUCAUGGAGUGCGGCAAACAUAUCUGUGCGACUCGAUCACUCCACUGUAAAGACCCGCACAGCAUUAAAAUGGAUAUUAUCAAUAUGUGUUGUUGCUCGAAAAUAUGUUUUUGUAGCAGGAAGUGCUUUGGGCUCGAUUAAUCUGAGAACUCAACAAAAUAUUAAUAAAAUCCUUCUGUGCCUUUUAGUUCUGAAAACAGAAGUAGCCAGUUGGUAUUACACAUCUCCUAAACAAGUACAGCACAAUAAAACUGAAGGUUUUAAAUCCUACAUUUUUAUAACAUCUUUAUAUCCACACAAAAAUAUUGAUGAUUGUGGUGCUCAGAUUGCAAAACCACCUGUUUGGCAAAAAUAAUGCAGAUGGUUAGAUUAUGAUAAGUGCAAGAAAAAAAGAAUAACUCUGGAGAUAAUAAUUGAUAUGAUAAUCAUUGCUUGACAGAAUCACAAUUGACCUAGAUAUUUAUUUAUGUAGUGGUGUAUUUUUCAAUGAGUGCCUUAAGAUUCCAAAAACAUAUUGACUUAAAAUAAAUAAUCCCGAUGGCGUAAA